rnacentral:rRNA from 1 species
GAUGAACGCUAGCGGCAGGCCUAAUACAUGCAAGUCGAACGAAUCCAGUUCUUUCGGGAACUGGGUUAGUGGCGCACGGGUGCGUAACGCGUAUGCAACCUACCUUCCACUGGGGGAUAGCCCGGGGAAACCCGGAUCAAUACCGCAUAUGACCACAGGAGGGCAUCCGAGUGUGGUAAAAGCUGAGGCGGUGGAAGAUGGGGCAUGCGUGCCAUUAGCUAGUUGGCGGGGUAACGGCCCACCAAGGCGACGAUGGCUAGGGGUUCUGAGAGGAUGGUCCCCCACACUGGUACUGAGACACGGACCAGACUCCUACGGGAGGCAGCAGUAGGGAAUAUUGGGCAAUGGCCGAGAGGCUGACCCAGCCAUGCCGCGUGCAGGAAGAAGGCCUUCUGGGUUGUAAACUGCUUUUAUCUGGGAAGAAAACGCCCCUGCGGGGGUAACUGACGGUACCAGAUGAAUAAGCACCGGCUAACUCCGUG